AGAGUUUGAUCCUGGCUCAGGAUGAACGCUGGCGGCGUGCCUAAUACAUGCAAGUCGAACGCUUUGUGGUUCAACUGAUUUGAAGAGCUUGCUCAGAUAUGACGAUGGACAUUGUAAAGAGUGGCGAACGGGUGAGUAACACGUGGGAAACCUACCUCUUAGCAGGGGAUAACAUUUGGAAACAGAUGCUAAUACCGUAUAACAAUAGCAACCGCAUGGUUGCUACUUAAAAGAUGGUUCUGCUAUCACUAAGAGAUGGUCCCGCGGUGCAUUAGUUAGUUGGUGAGGUAAUGGCUCACCAAGACGAUGAUGCAUAGCCGAGUUGAGAGACUGAUCGGCCACAAUGGGACUGAGACACGGCCCAUACUCCUACGGGAGGCAGCAGUAGGGAAUCUUCCACAAUGGGCGAAAGCCUGAUGGAGCAACGCCGCGUGUGUGAUGAAGGGUUUCGGCUCGUAAAACACUGUUGUAAGAGAAGAAUGACAUUGAGAGUAACUGUUCAAUGUGUGACGGUAUCUUACCAGAAAGGAACGGCUAAAUACGUGCCAGCAGCCGCGGUAAUACGUAUGUUCCAAGCGUUAUCCGGAUUUAUUGGGCGUAAAGCGAGCGCAGACGGUUAUUUAAGUCUGAAGUGAAAGCCCUCAGCUCAACUGAGGAAUUGCUUCGGAAACUGGAUGACUUGAGUGCAGUAGAGGAAAGUGGAACUCCAUGUGUAGCGGUGAAAUGCGUAGAUAUAUGGAAGAACACCAGUGGCGAAGGCGGCUUUCUGGACUGUAACUGACGUUGAGGCUCGAAAGUGUGGGUAGCAAACAGGAUUAGAUACCCUGGUAGUCCACACCGUAAACGAUGAGUGCUAGGUGUUUGAGGGUUUCCGC
rnacentral:rRNA from 1 species